rnacentral:rRNA from 1 species
GAUGAACGCUGGCGGCGUGCCUAAUACAUGCAAGUCGAGCGAACAGACGAGGAGCUUGCUCCUCUGACGUUAGCGGCGGACGGGUGAGUAACACGUGAAUAACCUACCUAUAAGACUGGGAUAACUUCGGGAAACCGGAGCUAAUACCGGAUAACAUGUUGAACCGCAUGGUUCAACAGUGAAAGACGGUUUUGCUGUCACUUAUAGAUGGAUCCGCGCCGCAUUAGCUAGUUGGUAAGGUAACGGCUUACCAAGGCAACGAUGCGUAGCCGACCUGAGAGGGUGAUCGGCCACACUGGAACUGAGACACGGUCCAGACUCCUACGGGAGGCAGCAGUAGGGAAUCUUCCGCAAUGGGCGAAAGCCUGACGGAGCAACGCCGCGUGAGUGAAGAAGGUCUUCGGAUCGUAAAACUCUGUUAUUAGGGAAGAACAAAUGUGUAAGUAACUAUGCACGUCUUGACGGUACCUAAUCAGAAAGCCACGGCUAACUACGUG